AAUGAACGUUGGCGGCGUGGAUUAGGCAUGCAAGUCGCGCGAUAAAUGUAGCAAUACAUGGAAAGCGGCGAAAGGGACAGUAACGUGUGGGAACCUACCUCGGGGUCUGGGAUAGCGGCGGGAAACUGCCGGUAAUACCAGAUGACAUCCCCGGAUCAAAGGUGUGAUUCCGCCCUGAGAUGGGCCCACAUGCCAUUAGUUAGUUGGCGGGGGAAUGGCCCACCAAGACUAAGAUGGCUAGCGGGUGGGCGAGCACGACCCGCGUCACUGGGACUGAGACACUGCCCAGACACCUACGGGUGGCUGCAGUCGAGAAUCUUCGGCAAUGGGCGCAAGCCUGACCGAGCGACGCCGCGUGCGGGAUGAAGGCCCUCGGGUUGUAAACCGCUGUCGAGGGGGAUGAAAUUCCGGUGGGUACUCCCAUCGGAUUGACAGAUCCCUGGAGGAAGGGUGGGCUAAGUUCGUGCCAGCCGCCGCAGUAA
rnacentral:rRNA from 1 species